CGCGAUCUAUCCUGCUAGUUAUCAUUCACUCAUUCUUUCAGUCGUUUGGGAUUGGUUGGGCCCCACGGUUUGCCAGGAGUCUUAGCAGAGGCUGCGGAAGGAGAGCAGAGAAGCCGGCAGAUGCAGCCGCUGCUCUCGCGAGAUCUUAUGUUUGAAGGGACGCGGACGGAUUGAGAAGCAACUGCGUAAGGACGUAUGCAGGCGAGGCCUUCACGUAGCUCAUGAAGAUCAAGGGAAACUUCCUGGCGGAGGGGGCCCCUAAGCUGAGACUGAAGAGUGCAGAGGAUGACGAUGCCAGUGAUCAUGACCAGGGCUCUUGGCAAUAUGCUCAGGAGAAAAAUUCCAUUUUCAAAGCUUGCUAGUGGACCAGAUAAGGCUUCUGGUGAAACUGCUGUGGCUCUUCCCUGGGAUUUCCCAAUCACAGACAUGAUGGCUGGAGCUCCCGUAGCUAUAUUGUAGCCUUGAGGUGGAAGCCAUCAUCCAAGGACAGCAGAGCAGAAGAAUGGGCACCCGGAGCCUCUGAUGACUCUGAGGAGCUACCAUACAAGAUUGGAGGGUUGGCUUCUACUUUUAUGUAAAAGAAUACACCAUCAGUCUAAACCAUUAGGCUUAAAAUACUGUAUACCUUUGUGGACAUUUUAAAAUUAAGGUCUAAAAUUAUUUUAAGGGUCUAAAUUUAUUUUACAUAGUUGCAAAAACAUAUGAUUCUGACUUAUUGAAACUUAACAUUAUAAGACCAUCACAUCACUUUUUGAAAUGUAGUCAAAGAAAUAUAAGUUUGUAGUAAUUUGAUAUUUCCCAUUGUCUACCUGAAAUACAUGAACAGAA
rnacentral:lncRNA from 1 species